AGGCAGCAGUGGGGAAUAUUGCACAAUGGGGGAAGCCCUGAUGCAGCCAUGCCGCGUGUGUGAAGAAGGCCUUCGGGUUGUAAAGCACUUUCAGUAGGGAGGAAGGUAGUGUAGUUAACACCUGCACUAUUUGACGUUACCUACAGAAGAAGCACCGGCUAACUCCGUGCCAGCAGCCGCGGUAAUACGGAGGGUGCGAGCGUUAAUCGGAAUUACUGGGCGUAAAGCGCAUGCAGGCGGCCUGUUAAGUCAGAUGUGAAAGCCCGGGGCUUAACCUCGGAAUUGCAUUUGAAACUGGCAGGCUAGAGUCUUGUAGAGGGGGGUAGGAAUUUCAGGUGUAGCGGUGAAAUGCGUAGAGAUCUGAAGGAAUACCAGUGGCGAAGGCGGCCCCCUGGACAAAGACUGACGCUCAGAUGCGAAAGCGUGGGGAGCAAACAGGAUUAGACACCCUGGUAG
rnacentral:rRNA from 1 species